rnacentral:lncRNA from 1 species
CUGGAGUUGUCAUGGAAGGGGCAGGGCGCAGGGCGGAACCAUUGCUCGCGGAGCUGGCGUCGAGUCGGAACCUCGGACUGCAGGAAGUGGGAGCACCGCGGUUUCGGGGAAGAGACCGGGGUUGAGCGUCUAGCCCAUCUCUGCGUGACUUCCGCCAGCGUUUAGAGCGUUUUCGGGGUCCGAGUUGAAGAGCAAAACCAAGUGAAGGAAACUUCACUAAGUUCAGGGUGACAAGGGAGGAAGUACAGAGAAACAGAGCGCUUAAAAAGCACUGUCUGGAUAUCUUCAGAGGGAAAAAGGAGAAAGUUAACUGAAUUGGUGACACUUCGGGUCUCUCACAGAGGAAGACCUAUUAGAGUGCUAAGGAGAAGACAAGUUAUUAGCACCCAAAAGAAGCACCAGUGCGGAUGGAAAUACAAGGUUGACAUUCGCUGAGCUGUGUUUUUUUUUUCCAGGGAAAUGGUUAUUCUUGAUAUUUUGAGCAAACUCUUCUUCUCUGAUCAGUGCCCAGAACAAGGAAACAGACCUUCUCUUUCCAGUACCUCCUAUCUAUCUAGAUAAUACGGAAGCCAGGGAGAAGAAUGGGAACCCAAGAUCUAUGAGCCCUUAUGGCAUAUGAAAAGUGGGUGUUAUCUGAAAAGUAGAACUCUAGAUGAAACCAGGCCUUUCCCAACAAUGGAGCCCAGGACAAUGCUGUCUUCAAUGUCCAUACCAUUAGACUUGUUAUAGAUGAGUUUCUAUAAUGAUGGCUUUCUGGUUAAUUAAACCUUCUGAAUGAUUCUGUGUAACACUGACUUCUGUGAUUCAUCACAGAACAAGUCUUCCUUCUUUCAUGGAGUAUUACUGUUUUCAGUGACUAUAUUUGGUUGUUUACUCUUUUUGGCACCAAUCACCCAGUGAAUCAACAACCAGAGUUGCAAACAAAUUACCCUCAUUGUCUUUUCCGAGUCCCUUAAUUUACUUUAUUUUUCAUUUGUUGCAAAUGUCAUUGUUUCUGCUAAUGUUGUUUUUUAACAUCUGCCAAGAUAAAAAAUAAAAAAAUCACUUGUAAUCCUUGUAGCUUGUUUUCUUCACGAGUCAUAGAAGCUAUUGUAAGAUAAACUUCAAGCAGUUGGGAACAAUAUGUUUGAUAAACUUUGCUGGGUUAAAUGCUUUGGAGAUCAUUCCUGAGCAGGAGUAGCAUAAUGCAUUAAUAAGUAUAUAGUGAAACUUCAGGAGAGAUGGAAAGUGUUUACUCAUUGAAGUAAUUUCUGGGAAAGCAACUUGGAACAGAC